rnacentral:rRNA from 1 species
UAUGAGAGUUUGAUCCUGGCUCAGGAUGAACGCCGGCGGUGUGCCUAAUACAUGCAAGUCGAACGCGUUGGCCUAAUUGAUUGAUGGUGCUUGCACCUGAUUGAUUUUGGUCGCCAACGAGUGGCGGACGGGUGAGUAACACGUAGGUAACCUGCCCAGAAGCGGGGGACAACAUUUGGAAACAGAUGCUAAUACCGCAUAACAGCGUUGUUCGCAUGAACAACGCUUAAAAGAUGGCUUCUCGCUAUCACUUCUGGAUGGACCUGCGGUGCAUUAGCUUGUUGGUGGGGUAACGGCCUACCAAGGCGAUGAUGCAUAGCCGAGUUGAGAGACUGAUCGGCCACAAUGGGACUGAGACACGGCCCAUACUCCUACGGGAGGCAGCAGUAGGGAAUCUUCCACAAUGGGCGCAAGCCUGAUGGAGCAACACCGCGUGAGUGAAGAAGGGUUUCGGCUCGUAAAGCUCUGUUGUUAAAGAAGAACACGUAUGAGAGUAACUGUUCAUACGUUGACGGUAUUUAACCAGAAAGUCACGGCUAACUACGUGCCAGCAGCCGCGGUAAUACGUAGGUGGCAAGCGUUAUCCGGAUUUAUUGGGCGUAAAGAGAGUGCAGGCGGUUUUCUAAGUCUGAUGUGAAAGCCUUCGGCUUAACCGGAGAAGUGCAUCGGAAACUGGAUAACUUGAGUGCAGAAGAGGGUAGUGGAACUCCAUGUGUAGCGGUGGAAUGCGUAGAUAUAUGGAAGAACACCAGUGGCGAAGGCGGCUACCUGGUCUGCAACUGACGCUGAGACUCGAAAGCAUGGGUAGCGAACAGGAUUAGAUACCCUGGUAGUCCAUGCCGUAAACGAUGAGUGCUAGGUGUUGGAGGGUUUCCGCCCUUCAGUGCCGGAGCUAACGCAUUAAGCACUCCGCCUGGGGAGUACGACCGCAAGGUUGAAACUCAAAGGAAUUGACGGGGGCCCGCACAAGCGGUGGAGCAUGUGGUUUAAUUCGAAGCUACGCGAAGAACCUUACCAGGUCUUGACAUCUUGCGCCAACCCUAGAGAUAGGGCGUUUCCUUCGGGAACGCAAUGACAGGUGGUGCAUGGUCGUCGUCAGCUCGUGUCGUGAGAUGUUGGGUUAAGUCCCGCAACGAGCGCAACCCUUGUUACUAGUUGCCAGCAUUAAGUUGGGCACUCUAGUGAGACUGCCGGUGACAAACCGGAGGAAGGUGGGGACGACGUCAGAUCAUCAUGCCCCUUAUGACCUGGGCUACACACGUGCUACAAUGGACGGUACAACGAGUCGCGAACUCGCGAGGGCAAGCAAAUCUCUUAAAACCGUUCUCAGUUCGGACUGCAGGCUGCAACUCGCCUGCACGAAGUCGGAAUCGCUAGUAAUCGCGGAUCAGCAUGCCGCGGUGAAUACGUUCCCGGGCCUUGUACACACCGCCCGUCACACCAUGAGAGUUUGUAACACCCAAAGUCGGUGGGGUAACCUUUUAGGAGCCAGCCGCCUAAGGUGGGACAGAUGAUUAGGGUGAAGUCGUAACAAGGUAGCCGUAGGAGAACCUGCGGCUGGAUCACCUCCUU